rnacentral:rRNA from 1 species
ACUCAAAGGAAUAGACGGGGACCCGCACAAGCGGUGGAGCAUGUGGUUUAAUUCGACGCAACGCGAAGAACCUUACCUAGGCUAGAAUGUGAGGGAAGGGCUUCUAACAGAGUCCGUCCGGGAAACCGGACCCAAAACAAGGUGCUGCAUGGCUGUCGUCAGCUCGUGUCGUGAGAUGUUGGGUUAAGUCCCGCAACGAGCGCAACCCUUAUCAACAGUUGCCAUCAUUAAGUUGGGAACUCUGUUGAGACUGCCGUUGAUAAAACGGAGGAAGGUGGGGAUGAUGUCAAGUCAUCAUGGCCUUUAUGCUUAGGGCUACACACGUGCUACAAUGGCCGGUACAAAACGUCGCAAUCCCGCAAGGGGGAGCUAAUCGCAAAAACCGGUCUCAGUUCGGAUUGAAGUCUGCAACUCGACUUCAUGAAGUUGGAAUCGCUAGUAAUCGCGGAUCAGAACGCCGCGGUGAAUACGUUCCCGGGUCUUGCACACACCGCCCGU